rnacentral:rRNA from 1 species
UACGGAGGAGGCAAGCGUUAUCCGGAAUUAUUGGGCGUAAAGCGUCCGUAGGUGGCUCUUCAAGUCUGCUGUCAAAGAGUGGGGCUUAACCCUGCAAAGGCAGUGGAAACUGAAAGGCUAGAGAGCCGUAGGGGUAGAGGGAAUUCCUGGUGUAGCGGUGAAAUGCGCAGAUAUCAGGAGGAACACCGGUGGCGAAGGCGGGUCUCUGGGCCGUAACUGACGCUGAGGAGCGAAAGCAUGGGGAGCGAACAGG